rnacentral:lncRNA from 1 species
UCGGGGGUGGCGCAUGCGCAGUGUUCACUCCGGGCUGGCGCAUGCGCGGUGGCGUCUCGGGGAUGGCGCACGCGCAACAUUCACUCCGAGCUGGCGCAUGCGCAGCACGGUAUCGAAGCUACAGCAUGCGCGGUACUGUCUCGGGGAGCGGCGCGUGCGCAGUGUUCACGCCGAGCUGGCGCAUGCGCAGACCGCUCCCGAAUAUGGCGCAUGCGCACUCUGGUGCCGUAGCUGGCGUAUGCGCAGGGAUCUCGCUGAGCAUUAAAUUCUCCUCGGUUAAGCCACGCCCCCUCGUCGGUUAAGCCCCGCCUUUUCGCCCCCUCCCGAUUUCUGUUUGGUGUAGGCCUGAAGGAGUGAUGGAGCAUCUGAUGGGGGUGUGAACAGCCCAGGGAACACAGGUGGAAGCAAUUCCCCUGUGGGGUGGGAAGGGGAGGAGCCAAAGCCCACCCUGAGCUCAUUUAAAGGCUGGAAGCUGAAGGGGGAGGAUCAGUGCUUGGUGGUUGCUCUGGCUGUUUGGUAAGCACCAAAACAGUUUGCUGGUAAGUGCUGCGUAUUACUUGGGGUUCUUAGAAUGCUCACUAUUUCUUCUUAUCCCAUGUUGUUCAGCACCAAAUGUGAAGGUUUCUUCUUUCCUUCCAGGACUGGAGACUCAACCAUCAGAUGCCGUUGUUAUUCCUGGUCUCCCCAGAUUGCAACGUUGGAUGUGCCCUGAUCCUUGGAAAGGGGUAAGUGAUUCCUUCAUCCUUACCAGAAGGUGAUCUCUACUUACCUUAUCUUGUGUCCAUCAGGUGGCAGUGGAGAGUUGUGACCCUCCCGAGCGGUGCAAGGAUUCUACUGAGGCUCUUGGUGGACACAGUAGGAACCCACAGCCUGAGAUGGACGCCAAGAUCCACUCCUUCCUUUGUCUGGCAAGCUCUGCUGACCCGUGAGGUCAUUCCCAUGCUUGCAGAGGUCCUGUGGGCUUGGUGUUGGUUGUCCUUUGUGCUCACCUUGCUGUCACUGGCUGUUCUUCCUUUACCCAUCUUU